rnacentral:rRNA from 1 species
UGGGGAAUUUUGGACAAUGGGCGAAAGCCUGAUCCAGCAAUGCCGCGUGUGUGAAGAAGGCCUUCGGGUUGUAAAGCACUUUUGUCCGGAAAGAAAUCCUUGGCUCUAAUACAGUCGGGGGAUGACGGUACCGGAAGAAUAAGCACCGGCUAACUACGUGCCAGCAGCCGCGGUAAUACGUAGGGUGCAAGCGUUAAUCGGAAUUACUGGGCGUAAAGCGUGCGCAGGCGGUUUGCUAAGACCGAUGUGAAAUCCCCGGGCUCAACCUGGGAACUGCAUUGGUGACUGGCAGGCUAGAGUAUGGCAGAGGGGGGUAGAAUUCCACGUGUAGCAGUGAAAUGCGUAGAGAUGUGGAGGAUACCGAUGGCGAAGGCAGCCCCCUGGGCCAAUACUGACGCUCAUGCACGAAAGCGUGGGGAGCAAACAGGAUUAGAUACCCUGGUAGUCCACGCCCUAAACGAUGUCAACUAGUUGUUGGGGAUUCAUUCCUUAGUAACGUAGCUAACGCGUGAAGUUGACCGCCUGGGGAGUACGGUCGCAAGAUUAAAACUUCAAAUGAAUUGACGGGGUCAUAGCUGUUUCCU